UGUAUUAGUGAUGACAGAGUGUCAUACACCAAGGAUUAGGAUUAUUCCAAUUCUAGGUAGUGAGGUCCAUU
rnacentral:snoRNA from 1 species